rnacentral:rRNA from 1 species
CCCUUAGAUGUUCUGGGCCGCACGCGCGCUACACUGAUGCAUUCAACGAGCCUAUCCUUGACCGACAGGUACGGGUAAUCUUUGAAUCUGCAUCGUGACGGGGAUAGAUUAUUGCAAUUAUUAAUCUUCAACGAGGAAUGCCUAGUAGGCGCAAGUCAUCAGCUUGCGUCGAUUACGUCCCUGCCCUUUGUACACACCGCCCGUCGCUCCUACCGAUUGGGUGUGCUGGUGAAAUGUUCGGAUCGGCCGUUUGUCGCGGUUUCCGCGUCAUGUGGCUGAGAAGUUCAUUAAACCCUCCCACCUAGAGGAAGGAGAAGUCGUAACA